GUGCCCUCUUUGGCAGCAUAAAUGCUAAAAUUGGAACCUACAGAGAAGAUUAACUUGGCCCUGGGCAAGGUUGAUAUGCAUAUUCACAAGCGUUUCAUAUUUAU